GAGCACGGCGGGGCGGGGACGGAGCGCAGCCCGCCCGGGGGCGGGUCCCGCGGACCCCUCGGUGCGAGAGCGCCCGGCGCGGCCCCCGCCUGGAUGCGUGUGACGGCGCACGGGAGGGCUGGCAGCGACACAGCCAGAAGCGGAACCGGUCCAGGCUGCUGGCGGCAGUUCGGCUCCCCGUCCGCAGAGGCGAGGACUACAGAGCACGGAAAAAACCUCCCGCUACAUAAAAUGUAACUCCAGAAACCGUGUAAGCGGUUAUAAAUUCUUCAAGUCCUCCGAGGAAAACAAAGAAAGCAAUGCCCUGAGCUUCAGAAAGAUGCUGGAGAUUCAGUACAGCUGCCAAACUGAAUGUAGAAUUCCCCACAUUCCUCUGGAAUCAAGACGCAGAACAGCUCCAGUCACGUCCCGGACUGCGCAGCGCUGAUUUACCUCCUAAGCUGCCUUAGAAAGUGCUGCAUGAUGGAAACGUGGAAGUAACAGACACACCUUCAAGAAGAUACAGCUUCAUAAAAGGCCGGGACUGUGCCAUGGCUUGCAGCUUUUGCUGCACUGGAAGGAGGACUGAAGUGUGAGUCCAUCAUCUUUUGUCACUUUAAAGAGCCAAGACUCUUUUUAGCCAAAGUCUACAGCAUAUAAUCAAAGCUUCAGGAGACCAACAGAAGUUGAGCACGUGCACAGCUGCUCAAAGUCUCCUUUUUCUGUUUUUCAUCCAACUAUCAUAGUUUGCUUGGACAAAAACAACAAACUGUUAUUAGGCAGAGAGCAAAGAGCAAAGCAACAGAGAGAGUACAGCAUCUCAGCAGAGUUCUCCAAGAAGAGGCACAAAAAUUAAACUUACUUUCAUCAAAAGUGCUGAAUUUUCCUCUGAGGAGGCACUGAAAUCAGACUCAUUAGGAGAAUGUUUUAAUAUUUUUUUCCCCUGCUGGAGCAUACAUACACAGUGAAAUAAUAACCACACCAUACCUCUUUUAAGAGAAAUCAGUAUAUGGAGUAAACUUCAAAUGCCUGCUUCUCCCUUUUCAAUGUUCAAUUGCACUUCACUCAUAAAAAGCUCUUUUGAAACCCAAGGGAAAGGUCUGACUGAUGGAAGCUACUCUAUAUUGCAGCCUCCAAUUGUUGUUAAGAGGAGAAACCCUUCCAGGUAGCACCAUUAAAGUAACUAGAACUGGCAAAGAUAUAUUUGCUGAAAAAUCAGUUUCAAAAUACCAGCUCUUUGCUUCUACUUAUCAGCUGAGGAGACAUGUGUUCUAAGCCAGCUGGAUGACACCAAUUAGUAUGUAAAGCAGUAUGAGCAAUAACAGUUCCCUGCAGAGCCAGACACUUGUUAUUGUUAACUGGACACACCAGCAAGGGUGCAGCAGCUGAAAGGGACCCACAUCACUGAAAGUAAGAUUGAACAGGUUGCUUACAGGGAGAGGCUGGUAGAGGAUUCCACGUUCUGUUUACAUUCCAGUGAGCAGAAUUCUGCUCUGAAGAAGAAUUUCCAUCAACCAUUUCUUUCCAACAACCAUUUCUUACUCUCAGGCUCCUGCAAAAGGCCACAUUAUUUGUGUAACAGAAAUCAGGUCAGGACUCAGCUACUGUUAAAGGAAAUAAUGUGACAUUUUUGGUAAAUAACUCGUCUAUAGCUGCAUUGCAUAAUUUAACAGCCAAAGAAGAGUCUGUACAAAGUCAUCCUACCUGACACUGAGGAAACUCAGAAAACUGCUCCCUUGCUACUACAUCUACUGCAGGCUUUUAUUUUUUUCACAAGAUCCCCACUUUAACUGAAGCAAACACCACCCAUUGCGAGUCUAUGAGAUACCCAUAUCCAUCUGCACUUCCUAGAACAAAGCCUAUUACAGCCUGAGCACAAAAUGCCCUCAGGGAACUGAUGUGGGUGAAACUGAGGCACUGCUGAACACUGGGCAGCCCACAGAACUGACGCAGCCCAUAGGGACAGCACCUUCCUCCCCUCAGGCCCAAGCCUCUGCACAGACCCCAGAAUCUUUCAGGAGAGCAAGGGAAGCAAAAGGCACAGCUUUAGCAAGUUUUCAAUAAAACACACGUUACUUGUUUAACAGCUUGUUACAAUUCAUCUCCAAGAUGAUCCCUGUGUACUUCUUAACACGGUGAAGGAGGCUUAAGUCUUUUUUAUAGCUUACCAUUUCAUCAUCUCACCCUUGCUAACAGCCCUCUUCUCCACUGAGCUCCUUUCCAUAGUUGUUACCUUUUCCUCUCAGGUGAUGUAGUUGACAUACACGCUGGGUUUAACACAGAGCCAUUACUCUCAGCUCUGCCCUUCUACUGCUUCCAUCUCAAACCCAAUACCCAAGUCAUUAGUUUUGUUUUUUUAACUAUAUCAGCAGGACCAACCAAAAACCCUUUCCCCCAGUCUUCCCUCUCUUUACACAACAUCCUGCUCUCUUCAGGUUGAGAUAUAUGCUGUCAUAAACUACUCCUCUAAGCUUAUGCAAGGCUGGAAGUGUGAGGUGAGAGAAGUGCCAGACACAGGACAGCUCAAUGCACUCAUCCUCCAGGAAAAGGACUGCUGCUGGUGCAGGCAGCACCCCAUUUCCUAAGCUUUAACAAGCAGUUUCUUAAAAAACUUCCACCUUAACUACCAGUUGUCCAGAGUGGCAGUGGGUGGUAAGGAAUGAGAGGAAAGGCUGCACAAAGGAAACAACUUCCAGAACCUUCCUGGCUUGCUAAACACACUAUUAACCAACCCUAAUUAGAGCCCAGACACCUGCUGCUUUCAGAGCCAGCAGGCCCACAGCUCAUCAUAGGCCCCGCCUGCUGCAUGGGCACCGGAUGGAUUUAAGGCAGAGGAAGCUUUCCAGCUAAGGGCUGGGAGAAGAGCAAGAUGUUUCUGCAGGGAGUGGAGGACUGGCUGGGGCCUGUUUGGCAGUGGUACUGGCCUGAUGUGCCCUGGGUAUUAAGGACUGUUGUUUGCUGUGGUAGUAAAAUGAGCUACUUGGGUCACAGCAAAGUAUCUGCUGGCCUUAAAUUUUAUAUUUGGAGUCUGCAAUAGAUGACAAAUACAGGACACCCCAGUGCCCUUGGGCUGUGCUGCAACAUGCUGCAGUCACCGAAACCACUGAGCAGUGUUGCUCCAACAGCAAACAAAACUUCUUUACAUGCUCAUGAUGACUCUUAGUAGCUUAAGUGUUUGAUAAAUAAGAUGGAGAAACAAACAAACAGAUGUAUGUUUAUCUAGAGACUUUUUUGAUGCCCAUCCUCUAUGGUUUCAUAAAUACUGCUAGAUAAAAAGGGGAGUUGCGAACAACGCUCUGGGACAUGGCUUGAAGAAAAUAUUCAGAGGUAAACUAAGAAUAAAUCUCUGUAAGACAGAAUGGUUUACUUCACCUUGGGAGAGCAGGGAAUACUGCUGCAAGAGUUGGAAGCCAGAAAUCCAAGAGGAAAUCCUCAAAGAUGAUAUGAAUAAACUGAGAAGGAGAAGAUGCAUGGAAAAUCAAUAACAUCAAUCAAGGUCAGACAAACAAAAAAAUGCCCCGACUAGAAUAGAAGUUGUAAAGGAGAUAGAAACAACAAAUAUGCGCUGUUUUAUUUCCUCAUGUGUACACGUACUGUGUAAGCUACAGCUAUUUUGUCUUUGGGAUAAAUACAUCAGUAAAUCCAGAAUAUAAAUAAAUACAGUUAAUUUUUCAAAAGGAGGCCAAUGAUAUCAGUAUCUUUUUGCUCGUGUAUAAAUGUAGUACGCUACAACUUUCUUAAUAAUCUGGUUUAUAACAGUGUUAGAAAAUAUCUACUAGUAAAAGGCAUCAUUAUUAUAGAUCAGAUUCUUCGUGAAACUUGACAGAAUCCAAGUGUGUAAACUACAAGUCUUGGUAUAGGAAACUUACUGAGAUGUGGAUUAAUCUCACUAGUAAGUCUCUUUAUCAUUUCUGAAGCCUUAUCUCUCAAGUAAGGAAUUCUCAGCAAUAGAAGUGUAACAUGAGAAAAUAAAGUUAUCUAGAAGGAACUUUGGAAUGGAAGAUAAUAGGAACACAGGAAUGACUAGGCUGGGUAAGAUCAAGAACUUAGUAAGACCAGUAUUUUGCAUCUCAUAAUGCCCAAGAACAAAUGCUUAAGGAAGGUAAUAAGGACUGGGCAAGGAAUAUCUGCCAUUUUCCCUGAGCUCUGAGCCGUUUGCAGCUAAGAAAUGUCUACAGCCAGGCAUUAUUUCUGCAUAUUUAGUAACUCUCAUGGAAUCCUUCUGUGGACUUGUGCAGCCAUCUGCUGAAAUCUUGUGAACUUCUAGGAACACCAAAAUCUUAGCAGGGAGCUUCACAGCUUAAAAAGUGUUUUGUUUAUUUUGGGGGUGAAUGGGUGGGGGAGGAAGGGCUUUGUUUUUGUUUUGAUAUUCAAGGAUCACAGCUUUAUACUGAAAUGUAGCCUGGGUUUCUGAAUCUGGCUCCUGCUGCAAAACCUGAUCUGUGAGUGCAAGCUCUGCCAGAACAAACUGCAGGAAUGGGGCCUCCAGCAUUGCCAGUGUGCAGUGAGUGAAACUAAUCAGUAAGGAGAAGAAAUUAACAGCAGUGUAAGACCCCGCACAUCAAAAUAACAAAUGGGGGACAUUUUCAGAAUGCAAUAUAGGACAUUCUGAGUGCUGUGUGGCUUAGUACGGUGCCACAGGGCUUUAGUUAACAUUCCAUUGGUGUUUUUUUUUUUCUUUUGUGAAGCUCUGUUUUCAAUUUUCAGAGCGUAGCAGUGUUACCAAAUAUGGGAUAAUCUGCUGCUGCUCUGGACAUGUAUCACUGUUUCUGCACUGGAGAUGAAAACCAGAAAUCAAUUCUUCCUUUGCCUGGUGGGAAGUACUGAUUCCCUGUAGCUUCUGUAGUAGAGACACAGAAGCUUAUAGGCAGGUGUUAUGUGAAAUCAGAACUUUCCUGGUGUGUGCUCAUAGAAUUUAAACACAAAAUGAUUGGAUACAGCAUACAGAGUUGGAAAGGGUUAAGCUGUUCAGAUUGUCUGCUUUAGGUGGAACAGAUUUUUUUUUUUUUUCCUUGAAGAGGAAAAUAAACAAUUCACUUAUCCCUAGGGUGGUAGCAAGCCCUAACAGGGGAAAGCAGGACACAUUCCUUCCUUCAUUUACAACUAGUCAGUCACUGAAUUGCUCCCAACACAUUCCAGAUCUGGUAGGAUAGCUUAAAUGUUUUCACCUGCGGGCCAGUGUCUGAAUUCCUGACAGUUAAUAGAACACCUAAGGAGCGAGGCACCGCAAUUUCUUUCUGAUGAAAGUGUGUUAUGCACCCACUCCCAUGGUUGUUAGCAAUUUCAUAGGUUCAUUUGCACCUGAAGACUUGAGAGUUUCUAGGGUGGAACUGUGUGUAUGAAAGCUCGAGCCUAGUGCUGUCAUCAAACACAAUCUCUCAGCAAAGACUUAGAACAGAUCUAUGAAAGGAGAAUUGUUUAUUGUAAUAAGUUGUGGUUAUGAGUGAAAUUUUAAUUGCUUCCUUUACAGUGAAAGAUCUGUAGGGAGAAGGGAAUGCUGCUGGUUUGCUUUCGCUGGUGAUGAAACAGGAACGUUUCUGUAAUGAUUCCUGAUCAGUUGUGCAGUGUUAUCCUAUAAAGCAGGUGACAUUUUGCAAAGUUGUUUGGUCAGAUUAAGACAAAAUUAUUUCUGUCCCAGAAUAUGAUCACCUUGUGCUCUGGAUUACAGUGCCGCUAUUCUGCAGAAUGUCAAGAGGGGCCCCACGGUCCAGAUCUCAAUGGAACACACAUUAAAAGCAUAACAGGAAGUUUACAACUUUUCCCAAACAAACAGCUAAAUAAUUAAACAAGGAAAAUGAAACACUUGAGUAUUCCAACUCAAAGCAAUCUGAUGCUGUUAUGUACCUAUUCCAUUUGUACUAUCACUUCUGAGGCAUUCUAUCAAAUGCUUCAAAACACCAUCCUGGUAAGCAGAGGUAAAUGUCACUGUUGUUUCAGGUAAAGACUGAGGAAUAUCUCUGAAAGCAGCUGUUUCUAGAAACAUUUUGAUAGUUUUGAUGAGGCAUCAGGAAGCUCCUUAUACCAUGCUAGCACAGUAAACAGUAUUAGUAUUAGCAGCACAGAGGUGGUUCUUUAUUCAUAGAAAUGAAUAUAAAGUAAGAGCAGAAGGUCUUUCAGGCUUGAAAAUGGUGGUGAAGGUGACUCUGAAUUAAGUAAAAAUGUGCAAGACUGUAACUAGGAUGAUACUCAAAAGAGUGAGAAUAUUAGUAAUAUUAUUUUUACUUAUGUUUACUUUCCGAUACGUCUUAUUGAGUAGAAUAAUGGCUUAAUACAUGACUUUGUGAACAUAAUGAAAUAAUUGCAUAAUUGGGAGACAAGAACAGAGGGAAAUUAUGGGAGGAAAGAAGUUCUGACUAUAGGAAGACACCUAUAUUAUCCUGACAUGCACCCAGGCGUUAAUUCCAAUUAGACUGAAAGCCUGCAUAAAUCAGAGCCUUGAGUUCCCAUUGAUAAAGAAAUAUUACUUCCCCAAAACUGCAUCCUGUUUUCACAUAUUGUACAUUUUGAGCAGUGUUCAGAGAUUACAAUUAAUUAGUUCCUGUAAUUAAUUUCAAAAUAAAUCUGAGAUGAGAAGGGUCUUAACCAUGUGUAGGGCUGUUGCUGGAGUGAAAUUAAUGGUACCAUUUUCAUCAAACCUCUUAAGCUUAACAUGUGUGAUGGCCAACAAAAAAACAGCUGUCAGUAGCAGACACUUUAAUUUUAUGUUACUGUUAAUGCUCUGAAUAAUUAACUAUUUCAGUUACACAGACAUUCUCAGGAGUGUUUUUUGGGGUGUAUGUAUAUAAACAGUUCCAACAUAGCACACAAAUGGAAUAGCAAUCUCAGGUGAUCUUUGGUCCCCUAACUACUGAAACUUUAAUCAAAGCAAACCAACAGAGACUGAGAUUGCUUUAACUACGAUGAGAACAGGAGGAAUAUAUUUCUUAAAUGCAUGAUGGAUAAACCAAAGGGAAAAAUAAGCCACCUCUAAUAAGUAUGCAAGGCUUAGGAAUAAAGAUCAAAUGAAUACAGACUCAGAAGAAUAACAAACGUGACUUUAGGAUUGAAACAAUCUGUCAAGAUUAAAGCAAAUUCCAAUAUUGCCUUCCAUUAAUUGUAUAAUAUUUGUUUAUUACUGCUUUUAGCAUGGCCUCUCUCCAAAGCUGACACGACAAACAGCAUUAUGGCGCCAUCGUGUGGCACACUCCGUGAUUGCAUUACUCUUAGCUGAGAUUUCCACAGUGAGCGACCACAACCUUGUUCAGAGGCUCCUUUACAGCAAAAGUUUCACGUCUCUCUGGCUUUCACUGUGGCUACCCCUCCUGAGUUUCAGAUUAUCCAUGUGAAGGUUCUUUGAAGGGGAGGGAACUUUCCCUACUGUUCUAAAAUAGAUUUAAAUACACUGCUCAACCCCUGGUUAGUACAAUUCAUAGGAACAAGAAUAUGGAAAUGGGAUGUGUUUGAAGAAAAAUGCCAAUUGAGUGAGCUGCAAAUCAGCUGGAUCUGGUGGAGAAAAUUGGAAUAUGAAUCUUACUGCAUUGAUUCCAUGGGAAAUAUUUCAAAUGAGUGUGAAGUCAGGGUGGCAUGAGACAGAACAGGGAAUAGAGUAUCUACCUGCAAAAAGGAGGGAGAGAACAGAAGUUCUUUGUGUCUGAUGGGUCCUUAAAUGUUGUGCCCAGUGAGUUAAGGGAAUGUUGUAGCUGACGUGUGCAAUAAGAAUGGAGUGGUGUAUAAUCAGGUAUAAAAGUAGCCAAGAUUAUAUUGGACUUGCUUGGAUUUUUUUCCCAAACAUAUCUGCAUUUUCUAGGUGAAGGCAGUGUGACACAUUCCCUAAGUGAACACUAAUGAUGCCCACUGUGUGAUGCUCAGGAGGUUUUAAAUCAAGCUUGUGAAGUUGAUAAUUUUUAAAAGGACUAUAAUAUAGGCAAGGAACUGGUUAAAAGUGAUAAGUUACUGAAUGAUUUUGGGAAGCUGAAUCUGGGCUAGAAGAAAGCUAUCAGACUUUAAUGUAGUUAUUAGUGACCCUGAUGUAAAUGUUAUCAGUGUUCUGUUGACAAGAAAACUAGAAGGUAUCAUUAAUGAAGGGGAGAGGUAGAAUAUUAUGCUGGGUAAAAAACUUGGUUUAUCUAAAGAAAUGGAGGAAUCAAAACAGGAUAAAACUCUACACUAUAAACUAUAGCAACAUGUCUCUGAAGAAUAACAACAGAGAGCGUGCUGUCAGAUGAUAGUAUUUGGAAGUAGCAAGACAGGCUGAUCUAGUUGAUACACGUAAAAUGUGAUAGAGAUGUAAAAUCUCAAGCUUUACUUACCUACCACCUGAAGCAUUUUUCAGCAGAAAUAGGAGAUUAACACUGGUAUGAAUUAAAAAUAGAAUGUUCAGGAAGCCCAGAUGCAGAAAUGACUACUGAGGUUGCCAAAGGAAGAAAAAGGCUGAGAUUAGAUGUGAUAUCACCAUUACACAUAAAUGGUAAACAACAAGGAUGAAGAUUUGCUUAAGCAAAAGGACUAUGAUGGUGAAAACCAAACAAAAACUGGCUGUUUGUAAAUUAGUAGCAGAACUUAGGAGAUUCUGACCUACAGGGGUAAGACAAUACAACAAAUAUCCAGUUGGAACACAGGAACAAAAACUAGCUGUAUUUUAGCCCUAGUUGAUCAGAAAACCUCUGGGGAGAGACCCAGAACCACACACUGCAUGCUCUCAUGUGUAGAGCUGCUCUAUGGAGUUCUGCAGAGUUCUCUGGUGGUUUCUCUUCAAGAAACACUGAGUGUUCUGUAAGCUGCCAGCCCAGCUUCACCUGUGGUGGGCCAAGUGUUGCCAAUGACUAGUUGGACAUGUUAAUUCAUUAGAGCUGCCAGGAAGAUGCUGAGUGAUACCUUCAAAGCUAAGAACGCAGUUAAGAUAUCUGUGCUGGAAUGAAUAUACAGUGAAGAGUCACAACCAUAGAAUAAUUGUUUUGCUGGCACAGGCUGGUUGAGAGUUUUGUGCUAUUUCAAAGUGCUUGUUUGUGUUAAUAAUGCCUUGGGAAAGCAAACAAACAAAACCUAUGAACAAAUCAAACAUGUGAAGGGCUAGUUUGGGUUCCCAGCCCAAUAAUUCACUCCUAUAUAUACAAUACAGUUCUUUUAGAGUUCUU